rnacentral:ribozyme from 15 species
AUAUCGGAAGUGUAAGCAAAGUGGCACAUCAAUAAUGAUGCUUGAAUGGUACUCGUCCACAUGAUACUCUGUAAAGACGACCACAUUGGAACUCGAUCUUGGGUAAUGGCACGGGAGAGAAGCAAACUAAUCAAUAGGUUCGUCGUAACAACUGUGAUGAAUGGC